UGUAGUAUGCUUAAUCCUAUAUUUCUGAACCUUUAAUACAUGAAGCAUGCUCUGUUGGGGUGUAAAAUGUGUAUAUGAAAGUAGUGAACUGUAAAAUACCUUGAGAGUUUGCUUUGGUUGGAGAUUGCAGUUGAAUUGAACAAACAGCAGGUGUUUCUGAAAUAAUGGAAUAGGUCUUUGCAUUAAUGCAGGUGGAAUCAUGGAAGAAGGUAGAGCAUUGAAGUCAAGCUUACCUUGAGAAUGCUUGGCAG
rnacentral:lncRNA from 1 species